rnacentral:rRNA from 1 species
AAAUUGAAGAGUUUGAUCAUGGCUCAGAUUGAACGCUGGCGGCAGGCCUAACACAUGCAAGUCGAACGGUAACAGAAAGCAGCUUGCUGCUUUGCUGACGAGUGGCGGACGGGUGAGUAAUGUCUGGGAAACUGCCUGAUGGAGGGGGGUAACUACUGGAAACGGUAGCUAAUACCGCAUAACGUCGCAAGACCAAAGAGGGGGACCUUCGGGCCUCUUGCCAUCGGAUGUGCCCAGAUGGGAUUAGCUUGUUGGUGGGGUAACGGCUCACCAAGGCGACGAUCCCUAGCUGGUCUGAGAGGAUGACCAGCCACACUGGAACUGAGACACGGUCCAGACUCCUACGGGAGGCAGCAGUGGGGAAUAUUGCACAAUGGGCGCAAGCCUGAUGCAGCCAUGCCGCGUGUAUGAAGAAGGCCUUCGGGUUGUAAAGUACUUUCAGCGGGGAGGAAGGGAGUAAAGUUAAUACCUUU